rnacentral:rRNA from 1 species
UACGUAGGUGGCAAGCGUUGUCCGGAUUUAUUGGGUUUAAAGGGUGCGUAGGCGGUCUUUUAAGUCAGUGCUGAAAUACUCUAGCUUAACUGGAGGGGUGGCAUUGAUACUGAUUGGCUUGAGUGAAGUCGAAGUAGGCGGAAUUGACGGUGUAGCGGUGAAAUGCUUAGAUAUCGUCAAGAACACCGAUAGUGAAGACAGCUUACUAGACUUCAACUGACGCUGAGGCACGAAAGUGUGGGGAUCAAACAGG